GAUGAACGCUGGCGGCGUGCCUAAUACAUGCAAGUCGAGCGAACAGACGAGGAGCUUGCUCCUCUGACGUUAGCGGCGGACGGGUGAGUAACACGUGGAUAACCUACCUAUAAGACUGGGAUAACUUCGGGAAACCGGAGCUAAUACCGGAUAAUAUAUUGAACCGCAUGGUUCAAUAGUGAAAGACGGUUUUGCUGUCACUUAUAGAUGGAUCCGCGCCGCAUUAGCUAGUUGGUAAGGUAACGGCUUACCAAGGCGACGAUGCGUAGCCGACCUGAGAGGGUGAUCGGCCACACUGGAACUGAGACACGGUCCAGACUCCUACGGGAGGCAGCAGUAGGGAAUCUUCCGCAAUGGGCGAAAGCCUGAUGGAGCAACGCCGCGUGAGUGAUGAAGGUCUUCGGAUCGUAAAACUCUGUUAUUAGGGAAGAACAAAUGUGUAAGUAACUAUGCACGUCUUGACGGUACCUAAUCAGAAAGCCACGGCUAACUACGU
rnacentral:rRNA from 1 species